GAUGAACGCUGGCGGCGUGCUUAACACAUGCAAGUCGAACGAUUAACCCGCCCUCGGGCGGUUAUAGAGUGGCGAACGGGUGAGUAACACGUGACCAACCUGCCCCUUGCUCCGGGAUAACCCAGGGAAACCUCGGCUAAUACCGGAUACUCCGCGCAGCCCGCAUGGGAGGCGCGGGAAAGCCCAGACGGCAAGGGAUGGGGUCGCGGCCCAUUAGGUAGACGGCGGGGUAACGGCCCACCGUGCCCGCGAUGGGUAGCCGGGUUGAGAGACCGAUCGGCCACAUUGGGACUGAGAUACGGCCCAGACUCCUACGGGAGGCAGCAGUGGGGAAUUUUGCGCAAUGGGGGAAACCCUGACGCAGCAACGCCGCGUGCGGGACGAAGGCCUUCGGGUUGUAAACCGCUUUCAGCAGGGAAUAUAGUGAAGGUACCUGCAGAAGAAGCUCCGGCUAACUACGUGCCAGCAGCCGCGGUAAUACGUAGGGAGCGAGCGUUAUCCGGAUUCAUUGGGCGUAAAGCGCGCGUAGGCGGCCCGUCAAGCGGGGUUUCAAAUCCAGGGGCUCAACCUCUGGCCGGACCCCGAACUGGCGGGCUCGAGUGCGGUAGAGGAAGGUGGAAUUCCCAGUGUAGCGGUGAAAUGCGCAGAUAUUGGGAAGAACACCGAUGGCGAAGGCAGCCUUCUGGGCCGCCACUGACGCUGAGGCGCGAAAGCUAGGGGAGCGAACAGGAUUAGAUACCCUGGUAGUCCUAGCCGUAAACGAUGGGCACUAGGUGUGGGGGAGCAUCUCCUCCGUGCCGCAGCCAACGCAUUAAAGUGCCCCGCCUGGGGAGUACGGCCGCAAGGCUAAAAACUCAAAAGGAAAUUGACGGGGGCCCGCACAAAGCAGCGGAGCAUGUGGCUUAAAUUCGAAGCAACGCGAAGAACCUUACCAGGGCUUGACAUGCAGGUGAAAGCGGCGGAAAACGCCGUGGCCGAGAGGAGCCUGCGCAGGUGGUGCAUGGCUGUCGUCAGCUCGUGUCGUGAGAUGUUGGGUUAAAGUCCCGCAAACGAGCGCGAACCCCUGUCGCGUGUUGCCAGCAUUGAGUUGGGGACUCGCGCGAGACUGCCGGCGUCAAGCCGGAGGAAGGUGGGGACGACGUCGAAGUCAUCGAUGCCCCUUAUGCCCUGGGCUGCACACGUGCUACAAUGGCCGGUACGAACGGGCUGCGACGCCGCGAGGCGGAGGCGAAACCCUCGAAAGCCGGCCCCGGUUCGGAGUCGCAGGCUGCAAUUCGGCCUGCGUGAAGCCGGAGUUGGCUAGUAAUUCGCGGAACGAGCAUGCCGCGGUGAAUGACGUUUCCCGGGCCU
rnacentral:rRNA from 1 species